CCCAGACUCCUACGGGAGGCAGCAGUGAGGAAUAUUGGUCAAUGGACGGAAGUCUGAACCAGCCAUGCCGCGUGCAGGAAGACGGCUCUAUGAGUUGUAAACUGCUUUUGUACAAGGGUAAACCUGAAUACGUGUAUUCAGCUGAAAGUACUGUACGAAUAAGGAUCGGCUAACUCCGUGCCAGCAGCCGCGGUAAUACGGGGGAUGCAAGCGUUGUCCGGAAUCAUUGGGCGUAAAGAGUUCGUAGGUGGCACGUUAAGUCUGGUGUUAAAUGCAGAGGCUCAACCUCUGUUCGGCACUGGAUACUGGCGAGCUUGAAUGCGGUAGAGGUAAAGGGAAUUCCUGGUGUAGCGGUGAAAUGCGUAGAUAUCAGGAGGAACAUCGGUGGCGUAAGCGCUUUACUGGGCCGUAAUUGACACUGAGGAACGAAAGCCAGGGUAGCAAAUGGGAUUAGAUACCCCCGUAGA
rnacentral:rRNA from 1 species